UACGGGGGGAGCAAGCGUUGUUCGGAUUUACUGGGCGUAAAGGGCGCGUAGGCGGCCACCGCAAGUCGACUGUGAAAUCCCUCGGCUCAACCGAGGAACGUCGAUCGAUACUGCUGUUCUUGAGGAUUGCAGAGGAGACUGGAAUUCCCGGUGUAGCGGUGAAAUGUGUAGAGAUCGGGAGGAACACCGGUGGCGAAGGCGGGUCUCUGGGCAAUUCCUGACGCUGAGGCGCGAAAGCGUGGGGAGCAAACAGG
rnacentral:rRNA from 1 species